UACAGGGGGGGCAAGCGUUGUUCGGAAUUACUGGGCGUAAAGGGCUCGUAGGCGGCCAACUAAGUCAGACGUGAAAUCCCUCGGCUUAACCGGGGAACUGCAUCUGAUACUGGAUGGCUUGAGUUCGGGAGAGGGGUGCGGAAUUCCAGGUGUAGCGGUGAAAUGCGUAGAUAUCUGGAGGAACACCGGUGGCGAAGGCGGCAUCCUGGACCGACACUGACGCUGAGGAGCGAAAGCCAGGGGAGCAAACGGG
rnacentral:rRNA from 1 species